AUUGAACGCUGGCGGCAGGCCUAACACAUGCAAGUCGAGCGGGGUUUUCGGACCUAGCGGCGGACGGGUGAGUAAUGCGUAGGAAGCUACCCGAUAGAGGGGGAUACCAGUUGGAAACGACUGUUAAUACCGCAUAAUGUCUACGGACCAAAGUGUGGGACCUUCGGGCCACAUGCUAUCGGAUGCGCCUCCGUGGGAUUAGCUAGUUGAUGAGGUAAUGGCUCACCAAGGCGACGAUCCCUAGCUGGUUUUAAAGGAUGAUCAGCCACACUGGAACUGAGACACGGUCCAGACUCCUACGGGAGACAGAAGUGGGAAAUAUUGGACAAUGGGCGCAAGCCUGAUCCAGCCAUGCCGCGUGUGUGAAGAAGGCCUUCGGGUUGUAAAGCACUUUCAGUAGGGAGGAAGCGUUGUGUGUUAAUAGUACACAGCGUUGACGUUACCUACAGAAGAAGCACCGGCUAACUCUGUGCCAGCCGCCGCGGUAAUAC
rnacentral:rRNA from 1 species